rnacentral:rRNA from 4 species
GGCCUAACACAUGCAAGUCGAACGGCAGCACAGGAUAGCUUGCUCUCUGGGCUGGCGAGUGGCGGACGGGUGAGGAAUACAUCGGAAUCUACUCUGUCGUGGGGGAUAACGUAGGGAAACUUACGCUAAUACCGCAUACGACCUACGGGUGAAAGCAGGGGAUCUUCGGACCUUGCGCGAUUGAAUGAGCCGAUGUCGGAUUAGCUAGUUGGCGGGGUAAAGGCCCACCAAGGCGACGAUCCGUAGCUGGUCUGAGAGGAUGAUCAGCCACACUGGAACUGAGCCAGGAUCCAACUCUAUACGGGAGGCAGCAGUGGGGAAUAUUGGACAAUGGGCGCAAGCCUGAUCCAGCCAUACCGCGUGGGUGAAGAAGGCCUUCGGGUUGUAAAGCCCUUUUGUUGGGAAAGAAAUCCAGCUGGCUAAUACCCGGUUGGGAUGACGGUACCCAAAGAAUAAGCACCGGCUAACUUCGUGCCAGCAGCCGCGGUAAUACGAAGGGUGCAAGCGUUACUCGGAAUUACUGGGCGUAAAGCGUGCGUAGGUGGUCGUUUAAGUCCGUUGUGAAAGCCCUGGGCUCCACCUGGGAACUGCAGUGGAUACUGGGCGACUAGAGUGUGGUAGAGGGUAGCGG